rnacentral:tRNA from 1 species
GGUCUUGUAGCUCAGUUGGUUAGAGUGUAGGUUUUAUGAACUGAAAGUUGUGGGGUCAAACCUUACCAAGACCA